rnacentral:rRNA from 1 species
UACGUAGGGCGCAAGCGUUGUCCGGAAUUAUUGGGCGUAAAGAGCUCGUAGGCGGCUUGUCACGUCGAUUGUGAAAGCCCGAGGCUUAACCUCGGGUCUGCAGUCGAUACGGGCUAGCUAGAGUGUGGUAGGGGAGAUCGGAAUUCCUGGUGUAGCGGUGAAAUGCGCAGAUAUCAGGAGGAACACCGGUGGCGAAGGCGGAUCUCUGGGCCAUUACUGACGCUGACGGAGCGAAAGCGUGGGAGCGAACAGG